CAAAACCUGCACUGAUUGAAUUUCAUUUUUCAUAUGACUCGCACGCAAGAGAAACACGAUGAAAUCCGCUAGGGCACGCCAAGGUGUUAGACACAUUAACAUCAUCAAAAGAGAUCGUUGACCUUUUGAAGACUGUGGAUUCCCUUUUCCAUUCCAUAUAAGCUGGAUCAAGCAAGCCAAUGUUGAAUAACUUGUACAGAUAUAUUCCUACUAUCCGUGAACAGUUGCAGGUUCAUCAUUGAUGGAACACAUAAGGCAAAAUCAAAGGCCUCCCAAAUCACAGGUACUGCAUUGUUAGAGGAAUUGCUAAAUACAGCAUAAUUUCUUGCCUUCAGGUUGUCAAUUGUG